CAAGUUCCUGGAGGAGAUCAUCCAGCUAGUCAUGCUAGAGCACUUUUUCAAUGUGCUCCCCAACGAGAAGGUGACGACGCAUUCGUAUGUUAAUCCAUAUCAACUUUCGAUGCCUUUGACUGCGCCUACUGUGGUGACCAUGGGUAACGGGGAAUCAGGGUUCGAUUCCGUACAGGGACCCUGAGAAACGGCUACCACAUGCAGGUAAGGAAGUAGGCACGCAUAUGACCAAGGUAGUGACGACAAAUAACAAUACAGGACUGUUUAGAGGCCCUGUAAUUGUAAUGAGUCCACUUGAAAUCCUUUAACUCUGAUCAAUUGGAGGGAAGUCUGGUGCAGAGCCACUGACCCGUGCGUGCUGCAGCUGCAACUCCACUAUCGUG